AGUAGGAUAACUGGGCCAAAUGGUGAUUACACUCUAAGUUUUCUAAGGAAUCUCCAUACUGCUUUCCAGAGAGGUUGUACCACUUUGCAUUCCCAUCAGAAAU
rnacentral:pre_miRNA from 1 species